UUUUUUUCGGUUUCCGAAGGAAAUCGGCCGACCGAAAGCGUGGGUGCAAGCUCUGCGCCGCGAGCAAUGGCAGCCGUCCGACAGCACGAGGAUUUGCAGCCUACACUUCAUCACCGGCGCUCCGUCUCCAUUUCCCGGACAUCCGGACUGGGCACCUAGCGUGUUUGUGUUCAGAAAGGCUGACCCUGCAGCGCUGACAAAGAAGUGCAACCGUUUCGAGCGUAGCUGGAAACGAAAACGCGUUUCAGUUAACUACGAUGUCUCCUCAAGUGGCGAUCCAGC